GACGAACGCUUUCGGCGUGCUUAACACAUGCAAGUCGAACGGAAAGGCCCUGCUUUUGUGGGGUGCUCGAGUGGCGAACGGGUGAGUAACACGUGAGUAACCUGCCCUUGACUUUGGGAUAACUUCAGGAAACUGGGGCUAAUACCGGAUAGGAGCUCCUGCUGCAUGGUGGGGGUUGGAAAGUUUCGGCGGUUGGGGAUGGACUCGCGGCUUAUCAGCUUGUUGGUGGGGUAGUGGCUUACCAAGGCUUUGACGGGUAGCCGGCCUGAGAGGGUGACCGGCCACAUUGGGACUGAGAUACGGCCCAGACUCCUACGGGAGGCAGCAGUGGGGAGUAUUGCACAAUGGGCGGAAGCCUGAUGCAGCAACGCCGCGUGCGGGAUGACGGCCUUCGGGUUGUAAACCGCUUUCGCCUGUGACGAAGCGUGAGUGACGGUAAUGGGUAAAGAAGCACCGGCUAACUACGUGCCAGCAGCCGCGGUGAUACGUAGGGUGCGAGCGUUGUCCGGAUUUAUUGGGCGUAAAGGGCUCGUAGGUGGUUGAUCGCGUCGGAAGUGUAAUCUUGGGGCUUAACCCUGAGCGUGCUUUCGAUACGGGUUGACUUGAGGAAGGUAGGGGAGAAUGGAAUUCCUGGUGGAGCGGUGGAAUGCGCAGAUAUCAGGAGGAACACCAGUGGCGAAGGCGGUUCUCUGGGCCUUUCCUGACGCUGAGGAGCGAAAGCGUGGGGAGCGAACAGGCUUAGAUACCCUGGUAGUCCACGCUGUAAACGGUGGGUACUAGGUGUGGGGUCCAUUUCACGGGUUCCGUGCCGUAGCUAACGCUUUAAGUACCCCGCCUGGGGAGUACGGCCGCAAGGCUAAAACUCAAAGGAAUUGACGGGGCCCCGCACAAGCGGCGGAGCAUGCGGAUUAAUUCGAUGCAACGCGUAGAACCUUACCUGGGUUUGACAUGGAUCGGGAGUGCUCAGAGAUGGGUGUGCCUCUUUUGGGGUCGGUUCACAGGUGGUGCAUGCCUGUCGUCAGCUCAUGUCGUGAGAUGUUGGGUUAAGUCCCGCAACGAGCGCAACCCUUGUUCACUGUUGCCAGCACGUUAUGGUGGGGACUCAGUGGAGACCGCCGGGGUCAACUCGGAGGAAGGUGGGGAUGACGUCAAGUCAUCAUGCCCCUUAUGUCCAGGGCUUCACGCAUGCUACAAUGGCUGGUACAGAGAGUGGCGAGCCUGUGAGGGUGAGCGAAUCUCGGAAAGCCGGUCUCAGUUCGGAUUGGGGUCUGCAACUCGACCUCAUGAAGUCGGAGUCGCUAGUAAUCGCAGAUCAGCAACGCUGCGGUGAAUACGUUCCCGGGGCU
rnacentral:rRNA from 1 species